CAGCAGCCGCGGUAAUUCCAGCUCCAAUAGCGUAUAUUAAAGUUGUUGCAGUUAAAAAGCUCGUAGUUGAAUUUCGGGAUCAAUUGAUCGGUCGUGCCUCUGGUACGCACUGGUUUUAUUGGUUUCUCCCUUCUGACGAACCAGGAUGUCAUUAAUUUGGUGUCUUGGAGAAUCAGGACUGUUACUUUGAAAAAAUUAGAGUGUUUAAAGCAGGCUAACGCUUGAAUACAUUAGCAUGGAAUAAUGAAAUAGGACGUUUGAUCCUAUUUUGUUGGUUUCUAGGAUCGACGUAAUGAUUAAUAGGGAUAGUUGGGGGCAUUAGUAUUCAAUUGUCAGAGGUGAAAUUCUUGGAUUUAUUGAAGACUAACUACUGCGAAAGCAUUUGCCAAGGAUGUUUUCAUUAAUCAAGAACGAAAGUUAGGGGAUCGAAGACGAUCAGAUACCGUCGUAGUCUUAACCAUAAACUAUGCCGACUAGGGAUCGGAUGAUGUUAAUUUUUUAAUGACUCAUUCGGCGCCUUACG
rnacentral:rRNA from 1 species